GAAAGGUUGUGAAAUGAGUCUUCCUGAUUAAACUUUGCACCGAUCUCUGCUAUUCAAUGAUUGAAUCAUUGCAUUAGUCCGAAUCGAAGCGUCACCUUCAACGGGCUCAUUAUCAAUUUUUUCUCCACUCCUCCCACGAUCUAUCAUUUAAUGCAUCUCCCUUCGUUUUUUUUUCUCAGAAUCUGCGACUAUCAAAAGGUUAGUUCACAAAGAAGAUAUGAAAAAAAUAAAAUCGAGGAGGAUAGAAAGGAGUAAUCUAAAAUUAAAAACGAUGGUGAUAAAGUGAUUAUUGAUCUGAAAACUAAGCCAAAUCUGAAGAAUCUAACGAGGUUAAAUCAGAGGAAGAGAUUACAAGUGAAAAAAGCAAAGCUUAAACUGAAACUAAAAGAUUAAAGCUAAGGUGAAGAUGAAGAGACUGAGACGAUCCAGUAAAAAUGCAACAGUCACUGGAAAAUCCAGUAUUCUUGAUGAGAUUAUCAGGCAUGUUCUAUAUCCAGAAACAAGUUGAGGCCAGGUAUUGUGAAUCUUCCUUCCAUUGAGAAGUAAUUGGUAGCUGCUACAAGGAUAACUGCAUAACUUAUGGUCAAAACCGCAUAUUUCCAGGGAACUAUAAAUCUUCAUGAAAGAUAAAUUCUUGGACCCUUACGAUGUUGUUUUUGUUACAUAUCAAGAUUGCUCUAGCCUUUGAUUUUAAUGUUACUGUCUUGGGGUAAGUAGAAUUGAAACUGAUUAUGUAUGAAGUUUUCUAUAUAGAAUCAGUCUCGCAAAUUGCAAAAUCUGAAUCUAUUUUCAUUCAAAAAAAUAAAAAAAAUAUGAAUCUAUUUCUAAUACAACUUACAAUACCAACGCCUUACUUAGGACUUUGGAGUAACUAUAAACUCUGACGGUAUUAGGCAACCCAUUGUCUGUGCUUUGCUUUAGUAUGGCUAAUCUGAUUCGCUUCGUGUGUGUUAAUAACUUUUCCUCUGGUUCCAUGAUAUUUGAAGUUCUUUUCAUGAAUGCUUUCAGGUACCAGUUGAUAAGAAUACCUUCUAUAGGUUCGGGCACCUACAAAUUUGUAGAUUUGUUCGAAGACGUUGGGACAGCUGUGUUUGUUGAUUAAAUGAGAGACUACGGACCAGAUUUCAGAAAACAAUAACAACAACAACAAGAUGUGACUCACCGAAAAACUCUUUGAAAGCACACUCAGUCCAUCUUUGAGCACAUGGACUUCCUCUUGAUACUCACCAAUUACAACAACAGUAAGUCAAUAACCCAACUUUGGGCCAGCUCGCGCUCCACUACAUGGCAGUAGCGGUUUUACUCUUAGCCGUGAAAAAACUGUUUAUUUCAUCAAGAAAAUGUUUGGACCCGAACAGUGUCAAUUCCUCUCUCAAGUUAGCUAUGGAGUUCUGAAUUGGAGUUAGGAGACAACAAACAUUUACAUGAGUGAAUUGUCACCGAGCCAAGUUUCUUCCCAACUUAAUUUUCGCACUAAAAAUGUCUAAUGUAAAUAGUGACCAAGCAGGGGAGAGGGGAAGGAGUAUCAGCGGAGGUGAAGAAGAUGAGAGAGGAAGUAUAAUGUGUGUAGGAUGAUCCAGUGAAGAUCGUGUGUGAAAAGAAAGAGUUGAUGAGGAAGAAGGCAUUGGAGCUGAAGGAGUGGAAAUUGGGUACCAGUGGUAGGCAGUGGAGAUGGAAAAGCAGAGAGUGAGGUGGAUGAGAUAGCGUAGCAAGAGAGAAAUGGAUAAGGUUAUGCGAGAGAACUUGCGAGGAAGGCUUGAGAUGGAAAGGAUGGUUCAUAUUAUGAGGCGGAGAGAUAUGGUUAGCGGAGUUAAAGUCGUGUAAAAAAGUUGAACCGAGUUCUGCAAUUGGUGAGCUGAUUAAUGUUAGGAGGAUACUGACACUGUCGACAUAAUCAGAAAAGGCAAAACGUAUUUGCAUGAUUGAUUAGAAGAGAUUAAGCAUAUUUAGAGUUAUAUUUUUUGAGUUUGGUGCAAACAAAUUCAACAAAUAAAAAUUCAGUUGAAAUA